AAUUUCACUCCUACUUCUACUGAGAUAAUAGUGCAUAUAGUGCAUAUCCAUCGCUGAAAGAAGAAAGAGUUUUUGAUUGAACUGAAAAACCAAAUGGAUUUGAAGUCCUACAAAUGAUUAUCAUUUAGAGGAUGUGUGCCCACGUACAGACAAGAAUACUUAACAGGAGAAUGAAGAAUACAAAACAGAGCUCUGUCAUCUCCGGCCCAGGAUCAUUGGAUACUCCAUUUUCGUGCUGAAUUUGCCUGGCUGUUUGCUUUUUAAGUUUAAAGUGUAAAUGCCAACCUGCUUUUCUCUGAAUUCUCUCUGAAUCAGUCCUUUGUUUGGUCAGUUCACAAGGUACACAUUAGCUGCCAGGCAUGAUUAGGCUCUGAGGUAACAGUGAUUAAGAGGUAGGGAAAUGAGCAGAGGCCACCAACACAGAA